CGUCGAGCUACUACGGUAGUGAAGUCAUUGAUGCCAUGCUUCCAGGAAAAGCCUCUAAGCUUCAGAUUGUAAGGAAUCGUACCCCAAACCGACACAGGUGGUCGGGUAGAGAAUACCAAGGCGCUUGAGAGAACUCGGGUGAAGGAACUAGGCAAAAUGGUACCGUAACUUCGGGAGAAGGUACGCUCUUGAUGGUGAAGUCCCUUGCGGAUGGAGCUGACGAGAGUCGCAGAUACCAGGUGGCUGCAACUGUUUAUUAAAAACACAGCACUGUGCAAAAUCGUAAGAUGACGUAUACGGUGUGACGCCUGCCCGGUGCCGGAAGGUUAAUUGAUGGGGUUAGCGUAAGCGAAGCUCUUGAUCGAAGCCCCGGUAAACGGCGGCCGUAACUAUAACGGUCCUAAGGUAGCGAAAUUCCUUGUCGGGUAAGUUCCGACCUGCACGAAUGGCGUAAUGAUGGCCACGCUGUCUCCACCCGAGACUCAGUGAAAUUGAAAUCGCUGUGAAGAUGCAGUGUACCCGCGGCUAGACGGAAAGACCCCGUGAACCUUUACUACAGCUUGGCACUGAACAUUGAACCUACAUGUGUAGGAUAGGUGGGAGGCUUUGAAGACGUGACGCCAGUUGCGUUGGAGCCGUCCUUGAAAUACCACCCUUGUAUGUUUGAUGUUCUAACGUUGGCCCCUAAUCGGGGUUGCGGACAGUGCCUGGUGGGUAGUUUGACUGGGGCGGUCUCCUCCCAAAGAGUAACGGAGGAGCACGAAGGUGGGCUAAUCACGGUUGGACAUCGUGAGGUUAGUGCAAUGGCAUAAGCCCGCUUAACUGCGAGAAUGACGGUUCGAGCAGGUGCGAAAGCAGGUCAUAGUGAUCCGGUGGUUCUGAAUGGAAGGGCCAUCGCUCAACGGAUAAAAGGUACUCCGGGGAUAACAGGCUGAUACCGCCCAAGAGUUCAUAUCGACGGCGGUGUUUGGCACCUCGAUGUCGGCUCAUCACAUCCUGGGGCUGAAGUCGGUCCCAAGGGUAUGGCUGUUCGCCAUUUAAAGUGGUACGCGAGCUGGGUUUAGAACGUCGUGAGACAGUUCGGUCCCUAUCUGCCGUGGGCGUUGGAAGAUUGAAGGGGGCUGCUCCUAGUACGAGAGGACCGGAGUGGACGAACCUCUGGUGUUCGGGUUGUGUCGCCAGACGCAUUGCCCGGUAGCUAAGUUCGGAAUCGAUAACCGCUGAAAGCAUCUAAGCGGGAAGCGAGCCCUGAGAUGAGUCUUCCCUGAUACUUUAAGUAUCCUGAAGGGUUGUUCGAGACUAGAACGUUGAUAGGCAGGGUGUGUAAGCGCUGUGAGGCGU
rnacentral:rRNA from 1 species